AUGGAGCUACAAGGGGCCCAAGAGGACCUGGGCAUUUCCCUCUCUAGUCCCCGCAGGAACCACAAAACCAGGCCAGGAAGCAAGGCUAAGGGCAGGAGCAGCAUCUGUCUCUAGGGGUCUGUUUGGACUGCUGGAGGAAAGCUGAGGCUCAGAGCAAGUGAACAUCUAACCCAGGGCCACCAACAAGAGCUCAGGGAUUGGAACCUAGGAGAAGAUGCUUCCCUUCUCUUCUCCAAGAGUCCUUUUGGGGCUGGCAAGUUGAUGCAAGCUCCAGCUCAUGUCUUCAGACAAUGCUGGGUCCAAGGAAAUGCAUGGAUCUCCUGCAUUACAAAGUUUUGACUCCAAGAGAAGCCCAGAAGUGGCUUCCAGCCCCUCCUACCUGACUGUGCCCCGCCUUCACCACUUCCUGUCUUCCUGCGACCCAGUGACAGAUGUAUCUGUGGGGGCUGCUACUGGGGAAAGUCCACCAGGAGGAGAGCAUGCCAAUCUCUCCUCUCAGAUCCUCUGGGGGUUCCUUUCCCCACCCAAACUAGGCCUUGA